rnacentral:rRNA from 1 species
GACGAACGCUGGCGGCGUGCUUAACACAUGCAAGUCGAACGAUGACGCCCGAGCUUGCUCGGUCUGAUUAGUGGCGAACGGGUGAGUAACACGUGAGCAACCUGCCCUUCACUCUGGGAUAACCUCGGGAAAUCGGGGCUAAUACCGGAUAUGAGCUCCUGUCGCAUGGCGGGUGUUGGAAAGUUUUUCGGUGAAGGAUGGGCUCGCGGCCUAUCAGUUUGUUGGUGAGGUAGUGGCUCACCAAGGCGAUGACGGGUAGCCGGCCUGAGAGGGCGACCGGCCACACUGGGACUGAGACACGGCCCAGGCUCCUACGGGAGGCAGCAGUGGGGAAUAUUGCACAAUGGGCGGAAGCCUGAUGCAACGACGCCGCGUGAGGGAUGACGGCCUUCGGGUUGGAAACCUCUUUCAGCAGGGAAGAAGCGAAAGUGACGGUACCUGCAGAAGAAGCGCCGGCUAACUACGUG